rnacentral:rRNA from 1 species
CUAUACAUGACUCUGCGCAUAUCAAUAAGCGGAGGAAAAGGAAACUAACAAGGAUUCCCUUAGUAACGGCGAGUGAAGCGGGAAGAGCUCAAAUUUGAAAUCUUCAAGGUUUUACCUUGACGAAUUGUAGUUUAAAGAAGUGUUUUCUGCUGAAGUUUUGGUAAAAGUUCUUUGGAAUAGGGACAUCAUAGAGGGUGAGAAUCCCGUAUUUGACCAUUAUUUUCAGCUUUGUGAUACACUUUCAAAGAGUCGGAUUGUUUGGGAAUGCAGUCCAAAAUGGGUGGUAAAUUUCAUCUAAAGCUAAAUAUUGGCGAGAGACCGAUAGCGAACAAGUACCGUGAGGGAAAGAUGAAAAGAACUUUGAAAAGAGAGUUAAACAGUACGUGAAAUUGUCAAAAGGGAAGCGUUUGACACCAGUGUUGUUUUCUCGAAAAUCAAUUAAAAAUGGCUCGAUUUUGUAUUGUUGAGACCUUAAAAGCUCACUGUACAUUUUUCGUGUCUUUUUUAAUGCACUUUUCGUUUAACAAGUCAACAUCAGUUUCUUUUGUUGUAAAAGGGUCAUUGGAAGGUGGCUUUCUUUUCGGAGAAAGUGUUUAUAGCCUUUGGCCUCUGCAAUCGGAGAGACUGAGGUCUGCAGCGUAGACUCUUCGGGGUUAGAUACAUUUGUGCUAAGUUAUAGCUUUUUAUAGACAACUUGUUGACUAUAAUUAGUCUUGUAGCUUACUCGCUUAUGCUAUUUUACCUACGCUUAGGAUGUUGAAGAUGUAGCACAUCAU